UCACAGUCUAAGUGCCAGACACCACAUGU
rnacentral:piRNA from 1 species